UACGGAGGGGGCGAGCGUUAUUCGGAAUUAUUGGGCGUAAAGGGCGCGUAGGCGGCCUGAUAAGUCAAAGGUGAAAUCCCUCGGCUCAACUGAGGAAUUGCCUUUGAAACUGUCAGGCUUGAGGCCGGGAGGGGGUGGCGGAAUUCCCAGUGUAGCGGUGAAAUGCGUAGAUAUUGGGAGGAACACCAGUGGCGAAGGCGGCCACCUGGAUCGGUUCUGACGCUGAUGCGCGAAAGCGUGGGGAGCAAACAGG
rnacentral:rRNA from 1 species